rnacentral:tRNA from 1 species
UCCCUGGUGGUUCAGAGGUUGACUCUGCGCUUCCAAUGCAGGGGGCCCAGGUUCAAUCCCUAGUCAAGGAA